AAACCCUUUUUUCCCCAAGUAGCUUUGGUCAUGGUGUUUCAUCACAUCAAUAGUAACCCUAACUAAGACAGCUGGGGAGAUUCCUUCAAACGACACAGCAGGUAAAUGUGGAAGAAUUCACUCUUUCAUCUACCUGAUCAGAGUAUCUCAGGAUGUUGUUUCGGGGUGUAUGUGCCUUCAUAGGUCCCACUAAACUAUCAGAAAUACUUGCUUACAAUCUAUUAAUGAGUACACUAAGAACUGCUUUGCUAUUUUCCAACAGAUAGAACACAUGGAUUAUAUCCAAAUUAGGACAUGAAAGAUGACCAAGUCCAAACUAGUCAGGAAGCCAGACAACUAAUACCGAUUGGAACCAGUAUUGGCAACGUGGCUUAUGAGAUGCUGUACUUACACCAUGCCUCUCAGGUGCUCGGCCUACUGAGUAUUGAGGUACAUGAAGAUAACCCUAAUACUUGAGAAGUGGAGUUAGAAGAAUUUCAGGACUUCAAGUGCAGUCUAUUUGAUGGCAGAAGAUCGUCAAGGUUCCCAGAGAUGACACCUUUGCCAAGGUAUCCACCAGCCCUCCUCCCAUCAGGGUCUUCCCAUGUCAACAGCCUACAAAGAUGCCCUGUUCCUUGGGAAGCAACAGUGAAGAGAAUGGCUGUCUCUGCCCAUUGUUCUGGAUUAGAACCUUCUUCCGUGGCCUCAUGAGGCUCAUGCAUUUGUGACUCAGGCUCUCCUGCUGGGAACGAAACCACUCACAAUUUAGUAUCAUAAAACAAAACACAUUCCAAGCCCUUAAUCCCAGCAUCCUAAUUACAAGAAUGGCCAGUGGCUUUUCCAUACUCAUGUGGAAGAUCCGUUCUUCAUGGCUUCUCACAUGUCUGGAGCCAAGGUUGGGAUCGCUGAAAGGUUUAGAAGAUCCUGGAAAUGAGUUUGACAAGAUCAUCCUGACAACUUCAGAAGAAUGUGUCAGCACCUUGGCUGACCCUGAUAUUUGGAAGAGAGAAUGGGGACUUUCUUUUUCUCUUUUGGGUAGUCUUCUUCAAUGUUAGGACCCAGUUCAGAAAAUUUCCUAGACUACCACGUCUAAUUUUUUUUUAAGUUACUAAUGUGACAAUUUCAAAUUAAAUUAAAAGAUUAUUUAUUUGUA